rnacentral:rRNA from 1 species
AGAGUUUGAUCCUGGCUCAGAUUGAACGCUGGCGGUAUGCUUAACACAUGCAAGUCGAACGGUAACAGGCAAAAGCUUGCUUUUGCGCUGACGAGUGGCGGACGGGUGAGUAACGCGUAGGAAUCUGCCUAACAGCGGGGGACAACUUGGAGAAAUCCAAGCUAAUACCGCAUACGCCCUACGGGGGAAAGAAGGCCUCUUCUUGAAAGCUUUCACUGUUAGAUGAGCCUGCGUUAGAUUAGUUCGUUGGUGAGGUAAUGGCUCACCAAGGCGACGAUCUAUAGCUGGUCUGAGAGGAUGACCAGCCACACUGGGACUGAGACACGGCCCAGACUCCUACGGGAGGCAGCAGUGGGGAAUAUUGGACAAUGGGGGCAACCCUGAUCCAGCAAUACCGCGUGUGUGAAGAAGGCCUUAGGGUUGUAAAGCACUUUCAAUUUGGGAAGAAAAGCAUUCGGUUAAUACCCGGGUGUCUUGACGGUACCUUUACAAGAAGCACCGGCUAACUCCGUGCCAGCAGCCGCGGUAAUACGGAGGGUGCAAGCGUUAAUCGGAAUUACUGGGCGUAAAGCGCACGCAGGCGGUUUGUUAAGUCAGAUGUGAAAGCCCCGGGCUCAACCUGGGAACUGCAUUUGAAACUGGCAGACUAGAGUAUGGUAGAGAGAAGUGGAAUUCCACAUGUAGCGGUGAAAUGCGUAGAGAUGUGGAGGAACAUCAGUGGCGAAGGCGACUUCUUGGACCAAUACUGACGCUCAGGUGCGAAAGCGUGGGGAGCAAACAGGAAUAGAUACCCUGGUAGUCCACGCCGUAAACGAUGUCUACUAGCCGUUGGGGGACUUGAUCCUUUAGUGGCGCAGCUAACGCCUUAAGUAGACCGCCUGGGGAGUACGGCCGCAAGGCUAAAAGUCAAAGAAAUUGACGGGGGCCCGCACAAGCGGU